GACGAACGCUGGCGGCGUGCUUAACACAUGCAAGUCGUACGGUAAGGCCCUUUCGGGGGUACACGAGUGGCGAACGGGUGAGUAACACGUGAGUAACCUGCCCACAACUUUGGGAUAACGCUAGGAAACUGGUGCUAAUACUGGAUAUGUGCUCCUGCUGCAUGGUGGGGGUUGGAAAGCUCCGGCGGUUGUGGAUGGACUCGCGGCCUAUCAGCUUGUUGGUGGGGUAGUGGCCUACUAAGGCGGCGACGGGUAGCCGGCCUGAGAGGGUGACCGGCCACAUUGGGACUGAGAUACGGCCCAGACUCCUACGGGAGGCAGCAGUGGGGAAUAUUGCACAAUGGGCGCAAGCCUGAUGCAGCAACGCCGCGUGCGGGAUGACGGCCUUCGGGUUGUAAACCGCUUUCAGCAGGGACGAAGCUUUUUGUGACGGUACCUGCAGAAGAAGCACCGGCUAACUACGUG
rnacentral:rRNA from 1 species